UGGGGAAUUUUGGACAAUGGGGGAAACCCUGAUCCAGCCAUCCCGCGUGUGCGAUGAAGGCCUUCGGGUUGUAAAGCACUUUUGGCAGGAAAGAAACGUCAUGGGUUAAUACCCCGUGAAACUGACGGUACCUGCAGAAUAGCACCGGCUAACUACGUGCCAGCAGCCGCGGUAAUACGUAGGGUGCAAGCGUUAAUCGGAAUUACUGGGCGUAAAGCGUGCGCAGGCGGUUCGGAAAGAAAGAUGUGAAAUCCCAGAGCUCAACUUUGGAACUGCAUUUUUAACUACCGGGCUAGAGUGUGUCAGAGGGAGGUGGAAUUCCGCGUGUAGCAGUGAAAUGCGUAGAUAUGCGGAGGAACACCGAUGGCGAAGGCAGCCUCCUGGGAUAACACUGACGCUCAUGCACGAAAGCGUGGGGAGCAAACAGG
rnacentral:rRNA from 1 species